rnacentral:rRNA from 1 species
UCGAGAAUCUUCGGCAAUGGGCGAAAGCCUGACCGAGCGAUGCCGCGUGCGGGAUGAAGGCCUUCGGGUUGUAAACCGCUGUCAGUUGGGAGGAAGGCCCCGUGAAGAGCGGGGUUUGACCCAUCUUCAGAGGAAGUCCGGGCUAAGUUCGUGCCAGCAGCCGCGGUAACACGAACCGGACGAACGUUAUUCGGAAUUAUUGGGCUUAAAGGGUGCGUAGGCGGCGCGUUAAGUCGGGUGUGAAAUCCCUCAGCUCAACUGAGGAACUGCGCCCGAUACUGGCGUGCUCGAGGGAGACAGGGGUGAGCGGAACUGAUGGUGGAGCGGUGAAAUGCGUUGAUAUCAUCAGGAACACCGGUGGCGAAAGCGGCUCACUGGGUCUCUUCUGACGCUGAGGCACGAAAGCUAGGGUAGCGAACGGGAUUAGAUACCCCCGUAGUCC